AAUGAACGCUAGCGGGAGGCCUAACACAUGCAAGCCGAGCGGUAGAAGAUCUUCGGAUCUUUGAGAGCGGCGCACGGGUGCGGAACACGUGUGCGACCUGCCUUUAUCUGGGGGAUAGCCUUUCGAAAGGAAGAUUAAUACCCCAUAAUAUAUUUGAUGGCAUCAUUAGAUAUUGAAAACUCCGGUGGAUAGAGAUGGGC
rnacentral:rRNA from 1 species